UAUCUCCUGUAGCGUUCGAGAGUGUGCCGGGUGUUUCCUGAACCUGUAUUAACCCCGGGAGCGAAAUCCUUCACUGGUGCGCAAGCCCAUAUUUAAAUGGGAAGCCUGAUGUGAUGGUUACGUUCCCACUUGAACCUCCGGUUCAAGGACGAAGGCAUAUAGCGGCGCAGGUGGGAGAUAC
rnacentral:other from 1 species